GGCGAGUGAAGAGGAAAGAGCUCAAAGUUGGAAACUGUUUGGCUUAGCUAAACCGUAUUGUAAACUGUAGAAACAUUUUCCUGGCACACCAGAUUAAUAAGUCCUUUGGAACAAGGCAUCAUGGAGGGUGAGAAUCCCGUCUUUGAUCUGAGUAGUUGUCUUUUGUGAUAUGUUUUCAAAGAGUCAGGUUGUUUGGGAAUGCAGCCUAAAUUGGGUGGUAAAUCUCACCUAAAGCUAAAUAUUUGCGAGAGACCGAUAGCGAACAAGUACCGUGAGGGAAAGAUGAAAAGAACUUUGAAAAGAGAGUUAAACAGUAUGUGAAAUUGUUAAAAGGGAACCGUUUGGAGCCAGACUGGUUUGCNUGUAAUCAACCUAGAAUUCGUUUUGGGUGCACUUGCAGGCUAUACCUGCCAACAACAGUUUGAUUUGGAGGAAAAAAUUAGUAGGAAUGUAGCCUCUCGAGGUGUUAUAGCCUACUAUCAUACUCUGGAUUGGACUGAGGAACGCAGCGAAUGCCUUUAGGCAAGAUUGCUGGGUGCUUUCGCUAAUAAAUGUUAGAAUUUCUGCUUCGGGUGGUGCUAAUGUUUAAAGGAGGAACACAUCUAGUAUA
rnacentral:rRNA from 2 species